CUGUCAAUGAUCAUUCCACAUACCUUACCAUUGACAAGAGAUUGUGUGUGGAAAAUGUUCUCCCUCUGCUCAUUAUCUUUACUCCUAACUUGCACACAACAGCUCUUUAGACAACAAGGACAUUGCUCCCAAGUGGAGCAUCUUUAAUGGAUUGAGACAUAGUGUAGUACCUGCAAGAAAGGUUAGCGAAAAGAAUACAUUUUCUCCAUCGGCUUCCCUUGUGUUUACCUGACAAUCUCUCAAUUGACAGCUUCAUCUAUCGAGUUGAGCAUUCGGAGUCAGAAUUGCUUAAAUUGGGUCUGCACGUUAUUCCCAAUGACACAACAAGCAACCCUAAAGGAUUAGGAUUUGUACUGAAGCUUAGAAUUAAGCACACAGAGGAAGGAAUAGUGUGCUUCUUGUGUCUUAAAAAACUAGAAUUGAUUAGUCGCUCAAAUAAUAAAUUUUUUUUGGUAAUGGAACAAAAAUAAAAUGAUCAAUAAAAAUGUAGAUCAUAAAGAUUGACAAGACGGACUAAUGCGUAAAGAUCUGAUCAAUCACGAUGGAUAUAAUCAGAAGGUGUAUUUACCUAUACUACCUCUAAUUUAUCGGCUACAUUCUAUGACCAGUAAAGUUUCUUAUG
rnacentral:lncRNA from 1 species